rnacentral:rRNA from 1 species
GUAGGGAAUAUUGGACAAUGGGGGCAACCCUGAUCCAGCGACGCCGCGUGAGUGACGAAGGCCUUCGGGUCGUAAAGCUCUGUUGCAAGGGAAAAACAAAAUGAUGGUACCUUGCUAGAAAGGAUCGGCUAACUUCAUGCCAGCAGCCGCGGUAAGACGAGGGAUCCUAGCGUUGUUCGGAAUUAUUGGGCGUAAAGCGGGUGUAGGUGGCUUUGUAAGUCAGGUGUGAAAGCCUGGGGCUUAACCCAAGAAGGGCAUUUGAUACUGCGAAGCUUGAGUGCUGGAGAGGCUACUAGAAUUCUUGGUGUAGUGGUGAAAUACGUAGAUAUCGAGAGGAAUACCGGAGGCGAAGGCGGGUAGCUGGCCAGACACUGACACUCAGACCCGAAAGCGUGGGGAUCAAACAGGAUUAGAAACCCUUGUAGUCC